rnacentral:rRNA from 1 species
UAGUCCACGCCGUAAACGAUGGGUACUAGGUGUCCGGGAUGUUCGACCAUUCUGGGUACCGCAGCUAACGCAGUAAGUACCCCGCCUGGGAAGUACGGUCGCAAGACUAAAACUCAAAGGAAUUGACGGGGCCCGCACAAGCGGUGGAACAUGUGGUUUAAUUCGACGCAACGCGCAAAAACCUUACCCGGAUUUGACAUCCCGGGCUCACCUCAGAGAUGAGGUUUUCUCUUCGGAGACCCGGUGACAGGUGCUGCAUGGCUGUCGUCAGCUCGUGUCGUGAGAUGUUGGGUUAAGUCCCGCAACGAGCGCAACCCUUGUCCCUAGUUGCCAGCAUUGAGUUGGGCACUCUAGGGAGACUGCCGGUGAUAAGCCGGAGGAAGGUGGGGAUGACGUCAAGUCCUCAUGGCCUUUAUGU